CAAUACCGCGUGAGGGAAUAAGGAUCUUGGUCUGUAAACCUCUUUUCUCAAGAAAGAAGUUCUGACGGUACUUGAGGAAUAAGCAUCGGCUAACUCCGUGCCAGCAGCCGCGGUAAUACGGGGGAUGCAAGCGUUAUCCGGAAUCAUUGGGCGUAAAGCGCCUGUAGGUUGUUUAAUAAGUCUGUUGUUAAAGACUAGGGCUUAACCCUGGAAAAGCAAUGGAAACUACUAGACUUGAGUAUGGCAGGGGUAGGGGGAAUUUCUAAUGUAGCGGUGAAAUGCGUAGAUAUUAGAAAGAACACCAGUGGCGAAAGCGCCCUACUGGACCAUCACUGACACUGAGAGGCGAAAGCUAGGGGAGCAAAAGGGAUUAGAUACCCCUGUAGUCCUAGCCGUAAACGAUGGAUACUAGAUGUUGUGCUCUUUUGUGCAGUGUCGCAGCUAACGCGU
rnacentral:rRNA from 1 species